AGGGGGUGUUGAGAUGUUGUUGAGAGGUUGUUGAGGGGGUGUUGGGGGGUGUUGAGAGGUUGUUGACGGGGUGUUAAGGGGCUGUUGAGGGGGUGUUGAGAGGUUGUUGAGAGGUUGUUGAGGGGUGUUGAUAGGUUGUUGGGAGGGUGUUGAGAGGUUGUUGAGGGGGUGUUGAGGGGGUGUUGAGGGGGUAUUGAGAGGGUGUUGAGGGGGUGUUGAGGUGGGGUUGAGAGGGUGUUAAGAGGGUGUUGAGAGGAUGUUGAGACAGUGUUAAGGGGGUGUUGAAGGGUGGUUGAGGGGGUGUUGAGAGGGUGUUGAGGGGUUGUUGAGAGGGUGUUGGGAGGUUGUUGAGGGGUUGUUGAGGGGAGGGUGUUGAGGGGAGGUUGGAAGGGUUUGUUUUCACACCUGACACUCC
ensembl:lncRNA